rnacentral:rRNA from 1 species
AUGGACCGGCCGCCACCGGCAAUGUACCUCUCGCCGGAAUCAUACACCCAACUCCUUCUAAGCUUCUCCUCCAUCCCUGAUCUAGAUCCAAAUCGCGGUUGGACGCAACAAGAAGAACAAGAGGAGGGGGUGUUGCUGAUUUGGCCGGUAGCGGCGGCGAUUGGGCAAGCUGGAGUGAGACUGAACAUGAAUGCCAGUCCGACUCCUCCACACCAGAUCCAUCCGCACAGAGUGCCGAGGCCCACCGCCAAGUGA